rnacentral:rRNA from 1 species
GACGAACGCUGGCGGCGUGCUUAAUACAUGCAAGUCGAACGGACAGGCCCUGCUCUUGUUGGUCUCUCGUUUGCCGCACGCGUGAGUAUCACGCGAGUAUCCCCUCCCUGUCUUUCUGAUAUCUUUACGAAACUCCGGCUCAUAUCCCCUAUGAUCUCUUGCUCCAUGUUGUUCGUUGGUAAGUUUCGGUUGUUGUGGAUGGACUCGCUGGUUAUCCGCCUCUUUGUGGGGUAGUGGCUUACCAAGCCUUCGACGGGUAGCCUGCCUGAGAGGGUGACCGGCCACAUUGGGACUGAGGGAAGGCCCAGACUGCGAAGGGAGGCAGCAGGGGGGAAUAUUGCAGAAUGGGCGGAAGCCUGAUGCAGCAACGCCGCGUGCGGGAUGACGGCCUUCGGGGUGUAAACCGCUUUCGCAUGAGACGAAGAGGGAGUGACGGUAAUGGGUAAAGAAGCAACGGCUAACUACGUG